rnacentral:rRNA from 1 species
CGGUAAUUCCAGCUCCAAUAGCGUAUACUAAAGUUGUUGCAGUUAAAAAGCUCGUAGUUGGAUUUCUGCGGGGACGGAGCGGCCGGACGCAACUUGCGUCUCGAGCUAGCGCUUUCCCCGCAUCCUGCCGCGAACCGUGCUACCAUUAGCUUGGUGGCGCUGGGGAUCGGCUCGAUUACUUUGAGAAAAAUAGAGUGUUCAAAGCAGGCCACACGCCUUGAAUAAGUUAGCAUGGAAUAAUGACUAAGGACUUCGGUUCUAUUUUGUUGGUGUUCGGGACUGAAGUAAUGAUUGAUAGGGACAGUUGGGGCGGUCUGUAUUCCAAAGCGAGAGGUGAAAUUCUUAGACCUUCGGAAGACAAACAGCUGCGAAAGCGUUCCGCAAGGAUGUUCCCCUUGAUCAAGAACGAAAGUUGGGGGAUCGAAGACGAUCAGAUACCGUCGUAGUCUCAACUAUAAACUAUACCAGCUAGGGAUCGGUCAACGUUUAAUCAUUCGACUUGAUCGGCACCUUAUGAGAAAUCAAAGCAUCUGGGUUCCGGGGGGAGUAUGGUCGCAAGGCUGAAACUUAAAGGAAUUGACGGAAGGGCACCACCAGCCGUGGAGCCUGUGGCUUAAUUUGACUCAACACGGGAAAACUUACCAGGUCCAGACAUAGUAAGGAUUGACAGAUUGAUAGCUCUUUCUUGAUUCUGUGGGUGGUGGUGCAUGGCCGUUCUUAGUUGGUGGAGUGAUUUGUCUGGUUAAUUCCGUUAACGAACGAGACCCCAGCCUGCUAAAUAGCGCGGCUGAGCUUUGCUCGGUGCGAGCUUCUUAGAGGGACUAUGAUGCGCGAUAGCACAUGGAAGUUUGGGGCAAUAACAGGUCUGUGAUGCCCUUAGAUGUUCUGGGCCGCACACGGGCUACACUGGCGCCUGCAACGAGCAUAUCAGCUGGCCCGAGAGGGUCUUGGCUAAUCUUUUGAACCGGCGCCGUGCUUGGGAUUGACCAUUGCAAUUGUUGGUCAUGCAACGAGGAAUGCCUUGUAAACGCGAGUCAUCAGCUCGCAUUGAAUACGUCCCUGCCCUUUGUACACACCGCCCGUCGCUCCUACCGAUGAAUGUUCCGAUGAAACUUUCGGAGAGCGCCAGAGAACGGGGCUCUGCCUUGCAGAUCUGGAGGCUCAAAGUCACUUAAAUCUGAACAUUUCGAGGAAGGAGAAGUCGUAACAAGGUAGCCG